rnacentral:rRNA from 1 species
AGAGUUUGAUCCUGGCUCAGGAUGAACGCUGGCGGCGUGCUUAACACAUGCAAGUCGAACGAAGCGCUUAAACGGAUUUCUUCGGAUUGAAGUUUUUGCGACUGAGUGGCGGACGGGUGAGUAACGCGUGGGUAACCUGCCUCGUACAGGGGGAUAACAGUUAGAAAUGACUGCUAAUACCGCAUAAGCGCACAGUGCUGCAUGGCACAGUGUGAAAAACUCCGGUGGUAUGAGAUGGACCCGCGUCUGAUUAGCUAGUUGGUGGGGUAACGGCCCACCAAGGCGACGAUCAGUAGCCGACCUGAGAGGGUGACCGGCCACAUUGGGACUGAGACACGGCCCAAACUCCUACGGGAGGCAGCAGUGGGGAAUAUUGCACAAUGGGGGAAACCCUGAUGCAGCGACGCCGCGUGGAGGAAGAAGGUCUUCGGAUUGUAAACUCCUGUUGUUGAGGAAGAUAAUGACGGUACUCAACAAGGAAGUGACGGCUAACUACGUGCCAGCAGCCGCGGUAAAACGUAGGUCACAAGCGUUGUCCGGAAUUACUGGGUGUAAAGGGAGCGCAGGCGGGAAGACAAGUUGGAAGUGAAAUCUAUGGGCUCAACCCAUAAACUGCUUUCAAAACUGUUUUUCUUGAGUAGUGCAGAGGUAGGCGGAAUUCCCGGUGUAGCGGUGGAAUGCGUAGAUAUCGGGAGGAACACCAGUGGCGAAGGCGGCCUACUGGGCACCAACUGACGCUGAGGCUCGAAAGUGUGGGUAGCAAACAGGAUUAGAUACCCUGGUAGUCCACACCGUAAACGAUGAUUACUAGGUGUUGGAGGAUUGACCCCUUCAGUGCCGCAGUUAACACAAUAAGUAAUCCACCUGGGGAGUACGACCGCAAGGUUGAAACUCAAAGGAAUUGACGGGGGCCCGCACAAGCGGUGGAGCAUGUGGUUUAAUUCGAAGCAACGCGAAGAACCUUA